ACGCUGGCGGCGUGCCUAAUACAUGCAAGUAGAACGCUGAAGGAGGAGCUUGCUUCUCCGGAUGAGUUGCGAACGGGUGAGUAACGCGUAGGUAACCUGCCUGGUAGCGGGGGAUAACUAUUGGAAACGAUAGCUAAUACCGCAUAAGAGUAGAUGUUGCAUGACAUUUGCUUAAAAGGUGCAAUUGCAUCACUACCAGAUGGACCUGCGUUGUAUUAGCUAGUUGGUGGGGUAACGGCUCACCAAGGCGACGAUACAUAGCCGACCUGAGAGGGUGAUCGGCCACACUGGGACUGAGACACGGCCCAGACUCCUACGGGAGGCAGCAGUAGGGAAUCUUCGGCAAUGGACGGAAGUCUGACCGAGCAACGCCGCGUGAGUGAAGAAGGUUUUCGGAUCGUAAAGCUCUGUUGUAAGAGAAGAACGAGUGUGAGAGUGGAAAGUUCACACUGUGACGGUAUCUUACCAGAAAGGGACGGCUAACUACGUGCCAGCAGCCGCGGUAAUACGUAGGUCCCGAGCGUUGUCCGGAUUUAUUGGGCGUAAAGCGAGCGCAGGCGGUUAGAUAAGUCUGAAGUUAAGGGCUGUGGCUUAACCAUAGUACGCUUUGGAAACUGUUUAACUUGAGUGCAAGAGGGGAGAGUGGAAUUCCAUGUGUAGCGGUGAAAUGCGUAGAUAUAUGGAGGAACACCGGUGGCGAAAGCGGCUCUCUGGCUUGUAACUGACGCUGAGGCUCGAAAGCGUGGGGAGCAAACAGGAUUAGAUACCCCUGGUAGUCCACGCCGUAAACGAUGAGUGCUAGGUGUUAGACCCUUUCCGGGGUUUAGUGCCGCAGCUAACGCAUUAAGCACUCCGCCUGGGGAGUACGACCGCAAGGUUGAAACUCAAAGGAAUUGACGGGGGC
rnacentral:rRNA from 1 species